GCUAAUCAACUAGCUCGUUCGACUGGUUUAAGACCACGACAUACACAAACCCCCAUGAAUUAUAACCCCCACAUCAAACCAUUUUUCCGCCUUAGUAAGGG
rnacentral:rRNA from 1 species